rnacentral:rRNA from 1 species
GGUUACUGCUAUCGGUGUUCGCCUAAGCCAUGCGAGUCAUAUGUUCGUAAGAACAUGGCGUACUGCUCAGUAACACGUGGAUAACCUGCCCUUGGGUCCGGCAUAACCCCGGGAAACUGGGGAUAAUUCCGGAUAACGCACAUAUGCUGGAAUGCUUUAUGCGUAAAAUGGAUUCGUCUGCCCAAGGAUGGGUCUGCGGCCUAUCAGGUAGUAGUGGGUGUAAUGUACCUACUAGCCUACGACGGGUACGGGUUGUGAGAGCAAGAGCCCGGAGAUGGAUUCUGAGACAUGAAUCCAGGCCCUACGGGGCGCAGCAGGCGCGAAAACUUUACAAUGCGGGAAACCGUGAUAAGGGGACACCGAGUGCCAGCAUCCUAUGCUGGCUGUCCGGGUGUGUAAAAUACACCUGUUAGCAAGGGCCGGGCAAGACCGGUGCCAGCCGCCGCGGUAACACCGGCGGCCCGAGUGGUGAUCGUGAUUAUUGGGUCUAAAGGGUCCGUAGCCGGUUUGGUCAGUCCUCCGGGAAAUCUGACAGCUUAACUGUUAGGCUUUCGGAGGAUACUGCCAGACUUGGAACCGGGAGAGGUAAGAGGUACUACAGGGGUAGGAGUGAAAUCUUGUAAUCCCUGUGGGACCACCUGUGGCGAAGGCGUCUUA